rnacentral:rRNA from 1 species
AUUGAACGCUGGCGGCUGGCCUAACACAUGCAAGUCGAGCGAGCGGCGGACGGGUGAGUAAUGUCUGUGAAACUGCCUGAUGGAGGGGGCUAACUACUGGAAGCGGUAGCUAAUACCGCAUACCAUCAGAUGUGCCCAGGUGGGAUUAGCUAGUAGGUGGGGUAAUGGCUAACCCAGGCGACGAUCCCUAGCUGGUCUGAGAGGAUGACCAGUCACACUGGAACUGAGACACGGUCCAGACUCCUACGGGAGGCAGCAGUGGGGAAUAGUGGACAAUGGGCGAAAGCCUGAUGUAGCCAUGCCGCGUGUGUGAAGAAGGCCUUCGGGUUGUAAAGCACUUUCAGCGGGGAGGCGUUACCCGCAGAAGAAGCACCGGCUAACUCCGUGCCAGCAGCCGCGGUAAUUC